rnacentral:rRNA from 1 species
AGCGAACGCUGGCGGCAGGCUUAACACAUGCAAGUCGAGCGGGCCCUUCGGGGUCAGCGGCAGACGGGUGAGCAACACGUGGGAACGUACCCUUUGGUUCGGAAUAACGCUGGGAAACUAGCGCUAAUACCGGAUACGCCCUUUUGGGGAAAGGCUUGCUGCCGAAGGAUCGGCCCGCGUCUGAUUAGCUAGUUGGUGGGGUAAUGGCCUACCAAGGCGACGAUCAGUAGCUGGUCUGAGAGGAUGAUCAGCCACACUGGGACUGAGACACGGCCCAGACUCCUACGGGAAGCAGCAGUGGGGAAUAUUGGACAAUGGGCGCAAGCCUGAUCCAGCCAUGCCGCGUGAGUGAUGAAGGCCUUAGGGUUGUAAAGCUCUUUUGUCCGGGACGAUAAUGACGGUACCGGAAGAAUAAGCCCCGGCUAACUUCGUG